rnacentral:rRNA from 1 species
UACGUAGGGAGCAAGCGUUGUUCGGAUUUACUGGGCGUAAAGGGCGCGUAGGCGGCAAAUUAAGUCAGCUGUGAAAUCUCCGAGCUUAACUCGGAACGGUCAGCUGAUACUGAUCUGCUAGAGUGCGGAAGGGGCAAUCGGAAUUCUUGGUGUAGCGGUGAAAUGCGUAGAUAUCAAGAGGAACACCUGAGGUGAAGACGGGUUGCUGGGCCGACACUGACGCUGAUGCGCGAAAGCCAGGGGAGCGAACGGG